AACGGGACAUUGUCGGACGCGCUGCAGAUGUGGAUAAGGCAGGUGACCGAGUGCGUGCAGGGCGCGACGCAGUGCUACGUGUGCUUCGACCGAGUGCACGCGGUCAGCGGCCGCCUGCCCGCAGUGCCGCAACAAGUUCCACAACGUCUGCUUAAGUCAAUGGUUCAGAACAAGUCAAAGUUCAAACUGUCCUCUGUGCCGUUCAAGAUUCCGUGAUGUGCAAAUACCCAUUAUUGGGGUGUAACUACGUGUCAUCAAUCACUCUACUUCUACUACUACUGUAAG
rnacentral:misc_RNA from 1 species